UACGUAGGGUGCGAGCGUUGUCCGGAAUUAUUGGGCGUAAAGGGCUCGUAGGCGGUCUGUUGCGUCAGGAGUGAAAACUCGGGGCUUAACCCCGAGCCUGCUUCUGAUACGGGCAGACUAGAGGUAUGCAGGGGAGAACGGAAUUCCUGGUGUAGCGGUGAAAUGCGCAGAUAUCAGGAGGAACACCAGUGGCGAAGGCGGCUCACUGGACCGGUACUGACGCUGAGGCGCGAAAGCGUGGGGAGCAAACAGG
rnacentral:rRNA from 1 species